rnacentral:rRNA from 1 species
AACGAUGACGGAGAGCUUGCUCUUCUGAUUAGUGGCGAACGGGUGAGUAACACGUGAGUAACCUGCCCUUGACUCUGGGAUAAGCACUGGAAACGGUGUCUAAUACCGGAUACGAGCUUCAGCCGCAUGGCUAGGAGCUGGAAAGAAUUUUGGUCAAGGAUGGACUCGCGGCCUAUCAGCUAGUUGGUGAGGUAACGGCCCACCAAGGCGACGACGGGUAGCCGGCCUGAGAGGGUGACCGGCCACACUGGGACUGAGACACGGCCCAGACUCCUACGGGAGGCAGCAGUGGGGAAUAUUGCACAAUGGGCGAAAGCCUGAUGCAGCAACGCCGCGUGAGGGACGACGGCCUUCGGGUUGUAAACCUCUUUUAGUAGGGAAGAAGCGAAAGUGACGGUACCUGCAGAAAAAGCACCGGCUAACUACGUGCCAGCAGCCGCGGUAAUACGUAGGGUGCAAGCGUUGUCCGGAAUUAUUGGGCGUAAAGAGCUCGUAGGCGGUUUGUCGCGUCUGCUGUGAAAACCCGAGGCUCAACCUCGGGCCUGCAGUGGGUACGGGCAGACUAGAGUGCGGUAGGGGAGAUUGGAAUUCCUGGUGUAGCGGUGGAAUGCGCAGAUAUCAGGAGGAACACCGAUGGCGAAGGCAGAUCUCUGGGCCGUAACUGACGCUGAGGAGCGAAAGCAUGGGGAGCGAACAGGAUU